rnacentral:rRNA from 1 species
UACGUAGGGGGCUAGCGUUGUCCGGAAUCAUUGGGCGUAAAGCGCGUGUAGGCGGUCCGGUAAGUCCGCUGUGAAAGUCGGGGGCUCAACCCUCGAAAGCCGGUGGAAACUGUCGGGCUAGAGUGCGGAAGAGGCGAGUGGAAUUCCUGGUGUAGCGGUGAAAUGCGCAGAUAUCAGGAGGAACACCAAUUGCGAAGGCAGCUCGCUGGGACGUUACUGACGCUGAGACGCGAAAGCGUGGGAGCAACAGG